CCUACGGGUGGCAGCAGUGGGGAAUAUUGCACAAUGGGGGAAACCCUGAUGCAGCGACGCCGCGUGCGUGAAGAAGUAAUUCGUUAUGUAAAGCUCUAUCAGCAGGGAAGAAAAUGACGGUACCUGAUUAAGAAGCCUCGGCUAACUACGUGCCAGCAGCCGCGGUAAUACGUAGGGGGCAAGCGUUAUCCGGAUUUACUGGGUGUAAAGGGAGCGUAGACGGCAGUGCAAGUCUGGAGUGAAAGGCUGGGGCUCAACCCCCGGACUGCUCUGGAAACUGUACGGCUGGAGUGCCGGAGAGGUAAGUGGAAUUCCUAGUGUAGCGGUGAAAUGCGUAGAUAUUAGGAGGAACACCAGUGGCGAAGGCGGCUUACUGGACUGUAACUGACGUUGAGGCGCGAAAGCGUGGGGAGCAAACAGGAUUAGAUACUCCUGUAGUC
rnacentral:rRNA from 1 species